ACACCUUGAGGAGGAUCUUGCUUGCUGAAUUUGCUGAUGUUUUAUUACAGGAAGAAAUGGGAGAUGUGCUCAGCAAAUCCUAAUCCAGGCAGCUGCAGGGAGAUUGGGCCUGCCCCGACUUCACCUGUCACUAUACCCUUCUGUUCAACAAGCUUCAGAGUUAAUAUCCACCUUGAACGUAGAAGGGCAGGCUCAUGAGCCGGGCAGGGAUCAGCAAGGGAACUCAGAGCACCAAUCUGGAGUAACUCCAUAUUGCUGGGAGAGCCUGACAACUUUUACCCCAUCUCUUCAGCCCCGGGCUGCAACUACUUUUACCCGACAGCUGGAUGUGAUGUCUCCAAAAACCAGUCAGUGCUGGAGGACUCCCCUGAGCUGGAGGGCUAUUACAAACUGACACCUGGGGCUGAAUACACACGGGAUGCUGCCCAAAGGGAGAGACCAGGACACAGACUCAUUAAGUCUCCUCCUUGCCAGUGUAGCCCAUGAGAUGGGCCACACAGUAUAGCAUCCCCCACCAAGCAGAUCUUGCCAGAGAUUAUAUAACAAGUGCAAACAGCAUGCAUCACUCCUAAAACCACAGUGGAGAAACUGUGUCCUUAUGAGAAGCCAGAAGCUACUUGAGGCUGGACUAAUAGGAGACGUGGACAUGAAC